GGUGCAGGGGAACAGGGGCAGGGCUACCGUGGGACAUGCCUUGGGAGAUGCGCAGGCGCGUGGCACCUCGUGCUGAGACCUGCGAGGAGCCCGCUGUCACCUUGGCUGGCUUUCCAGAAGUCUCUGCACUCCACAGGGGACCCCAGUCUCUCUCCAGGUCCUUCUGAUUCAAACCCUUGCCACUCUACACCCAUCCCAGAGGGGCCAGAAGAGUGCCCCAGCUGAAGCCUUGCCCAAGACCUGCCUUGUUCAGUCUGUAAUGGUGGCCCAUGGGACACCUUGGAGUAGACCCUGACGCAGCCUGGGCCACACAGAACGACGUUCCUGGGAGAGGAUUCCAGAACCUUCCACAGGGGAGGAGUGAGCUUCUGGAGAUUGGGUCCCUGUGCUUUCUCCUGAAAACAUUGGACAGCAUCUCAGCACAGCCAUUCUCUGUCCUCCGAGGCGGGCCUCAUUCCUUGUCUACAGAAGCCAGGCUCAAAGAGUUAAACAGCUGGCCCCAGGCCACCCAGCUGCUGAGGGGCCAAAAGGGAGGUCUGGGCCUGCCUGCAGCUUCCUGUUCCGCCUCUGCAGAGCCUCACAAGGAUGGCUCGUGAGGAGUGCCAGCAGCAGCAGAGGACAGGCGUGUGCUGUUGGUGUUCUGGUUGUUUGGGUCUUUUCACAUGAUGUGUCCCAGACAAGGUGCAAACCAACGGCGAAGGUCCUCAGCUCGAAGGAGUGUGAAAACAAGGAGGAAGAGUAGAGUCGGGACCGCCCAGACUCUGGGAAGCAACGGAAGCACAGACCCUUCCUUGUCCAUUGAGGACCUGGUGACUUCUCAAUUUGGAUUCGGCUUCAUGAAAGGAGCCAUGAAGUGUGGUUCCUGGACCUGGGACACUGAAGCAGGGUCAGGCAAGUGGCCUUGGGUUACUAAGGGACCCUGUGUACAUCGUUUGCCUAAAUGUGACAGUGGGUGACUGGAGAGCUCCGCUGCUCUGCCUGCAGGUGCAGCCACACAUGUGACCUGGUAUACUGCAGUUCUGGUUGACAUCCUGCUCUUGGCCAAAACGUCUUUCCUGUUCUCUAAAUGGACGACAGAUGUUCAGCCUCCUCUUGGAGUUGUGCCCUCACUUCUGUGACAGUCAGGUUCAUGACAGUUGGGUGCCAUCCUCCCCACAGAUGAGUCAUCCCAUAUGCAACAGCCUCUUCCAGGCCCACCUUGAAUUCUGCUUCAGUCCUGUGUGGAUUAAGCUCCUAGUCCCACCACACCGGCCAUGAGCAACACUGUGGUGGAGAAAGCCCAUAAGAACCUUUGGAGCAGCAGGGUACAGACAGCUCCAGUAGCAAGAAGUCAAAUAGUCCAAAAAUGUUUGUGCUCCUCCAAAUGUCACUCAUCCAUUGCCAGGUAGAUUCCACAGCUGAGGGCAUGACCCAGUACUUGGCUUCUGCAGGUGACAUUUUCCAAAUGAAAGCCUCAGAGUCACCAUGGAUUUUCUUCACAGAUACCUCAGCACCUUCAGGAGACUUGCAGGUUGUGGGGUCAAGACUAGAUGCUUCAGCACACAGCUUAGGCCGCUGGCCUGGCAGACUCCCCUGAGAGCCGUGCCUGUGUCCACAGGCUGCAUCAUCAGGCAUAGAGACUUGGAGUAGCCCCAAAUGGCAGCUGUCCAUCUUCCAGUCAAAAGAAGGGCAGAACAGCUGAGUUUCAGCUGCCAGUACACUUUGGACAGCUUCUUCUGGGCCUGUUACCACAGAGAUUCUAGGGUAGGUCUGGGCUUCCUGCCAAGCCAAGCGCACAGGCUCCUGAGUUUCCCCUCCAGCUGGUGAUGCUGUGAGAAAGCUGUUGACCGUGAUGACAAGGGGCAGGAGCUGGCGGUGCCCACCCAGCCUUCCCAGCCACGGGCUCCUUCUCUCUUCCCUCCCUCAUCUUACUCCAAGGCGUGGUCUCCUCUCUGUCCUCGCCACCACCCCUAGCUCCUCAUGCUGUGCUUACAGUGGGACCCUCUCUCCACCCCUAGCAACGCCUGUGCCUCUCUCUGGCACCACCUGACCCCAUGCUGAGGGCCUUUGGGGUCCCUGCCUAUGCUCCACUCCACAGGUGUUGUGCCUGUCUGAAGGUCAAGCCUCCCUGGGACUCGUGUGCUGCUGCCUCACCUCCCACAUCUUUGCACAGUCCUGUUCAUGGGGUGCCUCUGGGCCUUACGCAGUGCAUGGUAUCUGGUCGGUGCUAAGUCAGCCUUUGGCCUGUGGAAUUGAAGUAGGACCGGUAUCUUCCACCAAGCUACUGUCUGGGAUUCCGGGCCCCCAAAAGAUGAACCUGGGCUGCCUGCAAGGUUGGGCAAGCUCAGAAGAAUCAGCCCUUUCCCCAUCCUGUUCCCAGCAUGCACCCAGAGAUUUGGCUUUCCUUUCGGCUGGUCACACAGAUGUCGACAUGGUGCCUAGAGCCUCAGAGCACAGGUGAGCCGAUGUCAGGAACAGCAGUGGAGACUCCUAGUUGUGCCGGUGCGUCCAAGUGUCGUCCCAUUGCAUCUUAACUAUCUUGAAAAAGAUACUAUUCCCAUCCCACACAGAAAUAAAUAAAUAAUGAAUAAACCUAGA